GAUCAGCAAAGCCGGGGAAUGUGCAGAUAUUCAUCGGAACUCCCGGCAAAAGGCUUGCAAAGGUGAUUUCCCUUUC
rnacentral:ncRNA from 1 species